AGAAGCUAAGCGCGUGUUGGCGUGGGAAACGAGGUUGCCACCACUUCGAGGUGCAUCUCGUGUCAAGGUAGAGACCAUAUUUAGCCUUCCUUCCCAAACUGGUCCCUUACUCGACGAUGAAGACAUAGAAACGGACUAUGCGCGUCGUAUACGAGUAGUAUUUGAGGCCAUCCCGUCAGAGGAAACGGUAGCAACGCCUAUCACAGUUGUACUGGAGAGACGUGUAGCUGAUACAAAUAGUGGGGGGGCAUGG
rnacentral:ribozyme from 1 species